rnacentral:rRNA from 1 species
GUAGGGAAUAUUGGGCAAUGGGCGAAAGCCUGACCCAGCCAUGCCGCGUGCAGGAUGAAGGCCUUCUGGGUUGUAAACUGCUUUUCUACGGGAAGAAACACUCCGAUGCGUCGGGGGAUUGACGGUACUGUAGGAAUAAGCACCGGCUAACUCCGUGCCAGCAGCCGCGGUAAUACGGAGGGUGCAAGCGUUGUCCGGAUUUACUGGGUUUAAAGGGUGCGUAGGCGGAUUGUUAAGUCAGUGGUGAAAGCCUGCGGCUUAACCGCAGAAGUGCCAUUGAUACUGGCAAUCUUGAGUACAGUGGAGGUAGGCGGAAUUUAUGGUGUAGCGGUGAAAUGCAUAGAUACCAUAAAGAACACCUAUAGCGAAGGCAGCUUACUACGCUGUAACUGACGCUGAGGCACGAAAGCGUGGGGAUCAAACAGGAUUAGAAACCCCGGUAGUCC